rnacentral:rRNA from 1 species
GUUAUAAGACGAGUCGGGAAAGUUUUUUCGCUAAGAGAUCAGUCUAUGUCCUAUCAGCUAGUUGGUGAGGUAAUGGCUCACCAAGGCUAUGACGGGUAUCUGGUUUGAGAGGAUGAUCAGACACACUGGAACUGAGACACGGUCCAGACUCCUACGGGAGGCAGCAGUGAGGAAUAUUGCACAAUGGAGGAAACUCUGAUGCAGCAACGCCGCGUGGAGGAUGACGCAUUUCGGUGUGUAAACUCCUUUUAAGAGGGAAGAUAAUGACGGUACCUCUUGAAUAAGCACCGGCUAACUCCGUGCCAGCAGCCGCGGUAAUACGGAGGGUGCAAGCGUUACUCGGAAUCACUGGGCGUAAAGGGUGCGUAGGCUGGCUUCUAAGUCAGAUGUGAAAUCCAAUGGCUUAACCAUUGAACUGCAUUUGAAACUGGGAGCCUAGAGUUCAGAAGGGGCAGAUGGAAUUAGUGGUGUAGGGGUAAAAUCCGUAGAUAUCACUAGGAAUAUCAAAAGCGA